GAGAGCCCGGUGCUUCGAGAGGAGCACGCCGGGUUCGGCGGGCGGGCCGGGGAAACGGAGUGAUCGCAAGGUCAGCACCGCGCCCCGGUCCGACCCAAC
rnacentral:ncRNA from 1 species